rnacentral:rRNA from 1 species
AGAUUGAACGCUGGCGGCAUGCCUUACACAUGCAAGUCGAACGGCAGCACGGGAGCAAUCCUGGUGGCGAGUGGCGAACGGGUGAGUAAUAUAUCGGAACGUGCCCAGUCGUGGGGGAUAACGCAGCGAAAGCUGUGCUAAUACCGCAUACGAUCUAUGGAUGAAAGCGGGGGAUCGCAAGACCUCGCGCGAUUGGAGCGGCCGAUAUCAGAUUAGCUAGUUGGUGGGGUAAAAGCCUACCAAGGCGACGAUCUGUAGCUGGUCUGAGAGGACGACCAGCCACACUGGAACUGAGACACGGUCCAGACUCCUA